UAUUACAAGUAAAAACUUAAAACUCAAAGGACUUGACGGUGUCUCACACUCAACCUAGAGGAGCCUGUCCCAUAAUCGAUGAUCCACGAUAGACCCAACCGCUUCUUGCCAAACAACCUAUAUACCGCCGUCGAAAGCUCACCUUUUGAAAGGAUAAAAGUGAACACAACAAUCUUACAUUAAAACGUCAGGUCAAGGUGUAGUUUAUGAAGCGGACGGAGAUGGGCUACAUUUCCUUUAUAAGGAAACACGGAUGGCACAUUGAAAAAUAUAAGCCAGAAGGAGGAUUUAGUAGUAAAAUCGGAUUAGAAAGCCAAUUUGAACACACUGCCCUGAGACGCGU
rnacentral:rRNA from 1 species